rnacentral:rRNA from 1 species
UUAAGCGACUAAGCGUACACGGUGGAUGCCUUGGCAGUCAGAGGCGAUGAAGGGCGUGCUAAUCUGCGAUAAGCGCCGGUAAGGUGAUAUGAACCGUUAUAACCGGCGAUACCCGAAUGGGGAAACCCAGUGUGACUCGUCACACUAUCAUUAACUGAAUCCAUAGGUUAAUGAGGCGAACCGGGGGAACUGAAACAUCUAAGUACCCCGAGGAAAAGAAAUCAACCGAGAUUCCCCCAGUAGCGGCGAGCGAACGGGGAGGAGCCCAGAGCCUGAAUCAGCAUGUGUGUUAGUGGAAGCGUCUGGAAAGGCGCGCGAUACAGGGUGACAGCCCCGUACACAAAAGCGCAUGUGCUGUGAGCUCGAUGAGUAGGGCGGGACACGUGGUAUCCUGUCUGAAUAUGGGGGGACCAUCCUCCAAGGCUAAAUACUCCUGACUGACCGAUAGUGAACCAGUACCGUGAGGGAAAGGCGAAAAGAACCCCGGCGAGGGGAGUGAAAAAGAACCUGAAACCGUGUACGUACAAGCAGUGGGAGCCCCACCACUAAGCCAGUGGUGAACUCCACAUCCGCAUCCUUUGCUGAGGAUACGGUUAACGGAGCGAAAGCGACGUUCAACCGCAAAACAAGCAGAGGGGGCUUAGUGGUGGGGUGACUGCGUACCUUUUGUAUAAUGGGUCAGCGACUUAUAUUCUGUAGCAAGGUUAACCGAAUAGGGGAGCCGGAGGGAAACCGAGUCUUAAUUGGGCGUUAAGUUGCAGGGUAUAGACCCGAAACCCGGUGAUCUAGCCAUGGGCAGGUUGAAGGUUGGGUAACACUAACUGGAGGACCGAACCGACUAAUGUUGAAAAAUUAGCGGAUGACCUGUGGCUGGGGGUGAAAGGCCAAUCAAACCGGGAGAUAGCUGGUUCUCCCCGAAAGCUAUUUAGGUAGCGCCUCGUGAAUUCAUCUCCGGGGGUAGAGCACUGUUUCGGCUAGGGGGCCAUCCCGGCUUACCAACCCGAUGCAAACUGCGAAUACCGGAGAAUGUUAUCACGGGAGACACACGGCGGGUGCUAACGUCCGUCGUGAAGAGGGAAACAACCCAGACCGCCAGCUAAGGUCCCAAAGUCAUGGUUAAGUGGGAAACGAUGUGGGAAGGCCCAGACAGCCAGGAUGUUGGCUUAGAAGCAGCCAUCAUUUAAAGAAAGCGUAAUAGCUCACUGGUCGAGUCGGCCUGCGCGGAAGAUGUAACGGGGCUAAACCAUGCACCGAAGCUGCGGCAGCGACGCUGAUGCGUUGUUGGGUAGGGGAGCGUUCUGUAAGCCUGCGAAGGUGACCUGUGAGGGUUGCUGGAGGUAUCAGAAGUGCGAAUGCUGACAUAAGUAACGAUAAAGCGGGUGAAAAGCCCGCUCGCCGGAAGACCAAGGGUUCCUGUCCAACGUUAAUCGGGGCAGGGUGAGUCGACCCCUAAGGCGAGGCCGAAAGGCGUAGUUGAUGGGAAACGGGUUAAUAUUCCCGUACUUGGUGUUACUGCGAAGGGGGGACGGAGAAGGCUAUGUUGGCCGGGCGACGGUUGUCCCGGUUUAAGCGUGUAGGUGUGUGUUCCAGGUAAAUCCGGUUCACUUUAACACUGAGGCGUGAUGACGAGGCACUACGGUGCUGAAGCAACAAAUGCCCUGCUUCCAGGAAAAGCCUCUAAGCAUCAGGUAACAUCAAAUCGUACCCCAAACCGACACAGGUGGUCAGGUAGAGAAUACCAAGGCGCUUGAGAGAACUCGGGUGAAGGAACUAGGCAAAAUGGUGCCGUAACUUCGGGAGAAGGCACGCUGACACGUAGGUGAAGUGAUUUACUCAUGGAGCUGAAGUCAGUCGAAGAUACCAGCUGGCUGCAACUGUUUAUUAAAAACACAGCACUGUGCAAACACGAAAGUGGACGUAUACGGUGUGACGCCUGCCCGGUGCCGGAAGGUUAAUUGAUGGGGUCAGCGCAAGCGAAGCUCCUGAUCGAAGCCCCGGUAAACGGCGGCCGUAACUAUAACGGUCCUAAGGUAGCGAAAUUCCUUGUCGGGUAAGUUCCGACCUGCACGAAUGGCGUAAUGAUGGCCAGGCUGUCUCCACCCGAGACUCAGUGAAAUUGAACUCGCUGUGAAGAUGCAGUGUACCCGCGGCAAGACGGAAAGACCCCGUGAACCUUUACUAUAGCUUGACACUGAACAUUGAGCCUUGAUGUGUAGGAUAGGUGGGAGGCUUUGAAGUGUGGACGCCAGUCUGCAUGGAGCCGACCUUGAAAUACCACCCUUUAAUGUUUGAUGUUCUAACGUGGACCCGUAAUCCGGGUUGCGGACAGUGUCUGGUGGGUAGUUUGACUGGGGCGGUCUCCUCCUAAAGAGUAACGGAGGAGCACGAAGGUUGGCUAAUCCUGGUCGGACAUCAGGAGGUUAGUGCAAUGGCAUAAGCCAGCUUGACUGCGAGCGUGACGGCGCGAGCAGGUGCGAAAGCAGGUCAUAGUGAUCCGGUGGUUCUGAAUGGAAGGGCCAUCGCUCAACGGAUAAAAGGUACUCCGGGGAUAACAGGCUGAUACCGCCCAAGAGUUCAUAUCGACGGCGGUGUUUGGCACCUCGAUGUCGGCUCAUCACAUCCUGGGGCUGAAGUAGGUCCCAAGGGUAUGGCUGUUCGCCAUUUAAAGUGGUACGCGAGCUGGGUUUAGAACGUCGUGAGACAGUUCGGUCCCUAUCUGCCGUGGGCGCUGGAGAACUGAGGGGGGCUGCUCCUAGUACGAGAGGACCGGAGUGGACGCAUCACUGGUGUUCGGGUUGUCAUGCCAAUGGCACUGCCCGGUAGCUAAAUGCGGAAGAGAUAAGUGCUGAAAGCAUCUAAGCACGAAACUUGCCCCGAGAUGAGUUCUCCCUGAGACUUUAGGUCUCCUGAAGGAACGUUGAAGACGACGACGUUGAUAGGCCGGGUGUGUAAGCGCAGCGAUGCGUUGAGCUAACCGGUACUAAUGAACCGUGAGGCUUAACCU